rnacentral:rRNA from 1 species
UACGGAGGGUGCAAGCGUUAUUCGGAAUUACUGGGCGUAAAGCGCACGCAGGCGGCUGAGCGAGUCGAUUGUGAAAGCCCUGGGCUUAACCUGGGAAUUGCAGUCGAUACUACUCAGCUAGAGUAUGGGAGAGGGUAGUGGAAUUCCUGGUGUAGCGGUGAAAUGCGUAGAUAUCGGGAGGAACAUCAGUGGCGAAGGCGGCUACCUGGCCCAAUACUGACGCUCAGGUGCGACAGCGUGGGGAGCAAACAGG